AGUGAACGCUGGCGGUAGGCCUAACACAUGCAAGUCGAACGGCAGCACAGUAAGAGCUUGCUCUUACGGGUGGCGAGUGGCGGACGGGUGAGGAAUACAUCGGAAUCUACUUUUUCGUGGGGGAUAACGUAGGGAAACUUACGCUAAUACCGCAUACGACCUACGGGUGAAAGCAGGGGAUCUUCGGACCUUGCGCGAUUCAAUUAGCCGAUGUCGGAUUAGCUAGUUGGCGGGGUAAAGGCCCACCAAGGCGACGAACCGUAGCUGGUCUGAGAGGAUGAUCAGCCAAACUGGAACUGAGACACGGUCCAGACUCCUACGGGAGGCAGCAGUGGGGAAUAUUGGACAAUGGGCGCAGACCUGAUCCAGCCAUACCGCGUGGGUGAAGAAGGCCUUCGGGUUGUAAAGCCCUUUUGUUGGGAAAGAAAAGCAGCAGGUUAAUACCCCGCUGUUCUGACGGUACCCAAAGAAUAAGCACCGGCUAACUUCGUG
rnacentral:rRNA from 1 species